UGGAAAGAUCCUCGCCAUGGUUGUUGAGUAUUGCAAAACACACGUUAAUGAUGAUCAUGUAGAUGCAUCUGAAGAGGUGAAGAAGAAGCUCAAGGAUUGGGACGAGGAGUUCAUGAAGAAUCUCGAUCUUGAUACGAUCUUUAACCUCAUUCUCGCCGCUAACUAUCUCAACGUCACGGUUCUUCUUGAUCUUACUUGCCAGGUCGUUGCAGAUUAUAUCAAAGACAAGAAAGUAGAGGAAGUUCGAGAAAUCUUCAACGUCAAGAACGACUUCACGCCCGAAGAAGAAGAAACGAUUCGCAAGGAAAACGAGUGGGCUUAUAAUUGAAGAUCUAAAAACAAAAUACCCUAGCUGUUUUGUUUUCCAUACAUGAGUUGGUGAAUGACUUAUAUGUUUCUGUUUCUCAAGUGUGUGAUGAAACUUUUAGGUCUCUUUAAUUCUGUUUAUUAAUUCUUUACGUAGAUGAUAUCGACUAGGUCAAGUUAAACAUAAACAUGAAACCAUACCUUGUGACACAAGAUAUUCUUCGUUUCCUAAAUAAGUCUAAUCUCUUUCACAAGAGAACAUUAAUUAGUAGUAAGUGUUGGAAUAUUGAGAGGAAGAAUAAAGACAGAGUAAGAGACCUUUUGUCUCUUCUAUUGUGAGGAAAAGAAUGAAACUGAAAUUUGUAUUGAACUGGAACUUGUUGUCUUGUGUUACAAAACACAUACGCUUAUAUACAUGUGUUACAGUCACGACUGCUCACACAAACAAUUGAAACAACACAACUAUCUUCCGUAUACAUCCGUUAAUAUACACCUAUUCAUACACACCUCUUCAUGUAAGUAUAGACACAUUAAUUUAUCUAAUUAGAUAAAAUAAUAAGACCAAACUUAAUUAUAAACCAACAUAAGACGAUGGUUGCCUUUCUGGUCGGAGAAAUUAUAUAUAAGGAGACUUACAAUCGUUCUCUCUGUAAUUUUCCAACAUCGUAUCACUGAAGCUCAUAGGCGACGACCAAAUUUCAAGUUAAUGAUAUUUACUUUGGUUUCUAUUCAUUAGGUUGUAACGGACCAGCAAUGAUCAAACCAUAAUUAAUGAGGCUCAAUUGCAAGAUCUCUUAAUUAACCAGCCUUAUGAUGUACGUUUUCUAACCCAACCAAACCCCAAGAGUAGCCACAGUGAAAUAUACUGUAUAUUUAUGGCUCGUUAAUUAGGUUAGUAAGACCUCAGAAGUUAUAAACGUAAGUUAUAAUAAAAGAAGAGUCUAGUACAAUAUCUACAAAAUUUUGAGAAUUAUUUGUAAAUUAAAUUAGAGAAGACUCAUGGGGUAUGUUGUUAAAUACUGUUUUCACAAGUGUUGAAAAUCCAAAAUAUUAGAGAAUUAAGUAAUGAUGACUCAGAAGUCAGAACCUUAAGUUAUUAUGUUUUUUUAAACGAAAAAGGUAUAAUAUUAUAAAGUUGAUUAUUUAAAAAUGAUAAAAAAUAUAAAAACUUACUAUAAAAUUUACAUUAAUUUUAUAGGUAAUACCAAAAAAUAAAAGUUGCAUUGUAGUUUGAAUCUAAUCCUGUAUUUUAAUGUAGUUACUCUUUUUAAUAUAAGAAUAGUUAAUAUUUAUGAAUUACAGAAUACUAAAAUAGUAUAAUAUCUAAAAAUUUAAGAAAUAUAUAUUAUUAUAUUAGUAUCCAUGUAUGGGGUCAACCAUUCUUAAAAGGUUAGAACCUAUUUAAUUAAAAUAGGAUUAUGUUCUUUAUUUAUUUUAUUUACCUUCCUUUGGGGAAAUACAUCUAUAGGCUAACUUUACAUACUCACACAGUCACUAUUGUUAUAAAUAGAGACAUCACAUCAAUUGGUUAACUCCAUUCAACACCUCUCAUUCAGUUUCUUAGAUAAAAUCUCCUAAAAAUCUUCUUCCUACAGUUUAACCACAAAACAAACAAUAUGUCUUCGAACAAGAUUGUGUUGACAAGCUCUGAUGGCGAGUCUUUCGAAGUUGAGGAAGUGGUGGCGAGAAAAUUGAAGAUCGUAGGGCCAAUGAUCGAAAACGACUGCCCCGACAAAGCAAUCAUCCUUCAAAACCUUACAGGGAAGAUCCUCGCCCUGGUUAUCGAGUAUUGCAAAAGACAUGUCGAAGAUGAUCAUGUAGCAGCUGAGGAGGCGAAGAAGAAGCUCAAGGAUUGGGACCAGGAGUUCAUGAAGGAUCUCGCUCUUGAUACGAUCUUUAACCUCAUUCUCGCCGCUAACUAUCUCAAUGUCACCGGUCUUCUUGAUCUUACUUGCCAGGUCGUUGCAGAUUAUAUCAAAGACAAGAAAGUAGAGGAAGUUCGAGAAAUCUUCAACGUCAAGAACGACUUCACGCCCGAAG
rnacentral:lncRNA from 1 species